AACGAACGCUGGCGGCAUGCCUAACACAUGCAAGUCGAACGACACCUUCGGGUCUAGUGGCGCACGGGUGCGUAACGCGUGGGAACCUGCCCUUAGGCUCCGAAUAACUCACCGAAAGGGGUGCUAACACCGGAUAAUGUCUUCGGACCAAAGAUUUAUCGCCUUUGGCUGGGCCCGCGUUGGAUUAGCUAGUUGGUAGGGUAAAAGCCUACCAAGGCGACGAUCCAUAGCUGGUCUGAGAGAAUGAGCAGCCACACUGGGACUGAGACACGGCCCAGACUCGUACGGGAGGCAGCAGUGGGGAAUAUUGGACAAUGGGCGAAAGGCUGAUCCAGCAAGGCCGCGUGAGUGAUGAAGGCCUUAGGGUUGUAAAGCUCUUUUACCCGGGAUGAUAAUGACGGUACCGGGAGAAUAAGCUCCGGCUAACUCCGUG
rnacentral:rRNA from 1 species